GGAAAGCAUGAAUGGUGUUGCCAUAAUUCCUGCAUUGUUACUUUAUAGAAAAACAAUGAAGGAAAAGUGUCAUUCCUGGCUUAUAAUUCAUUAAGCGAAGCAGAGCUAGGACAUGCCACCUUGACAGCAAUUCACGUAUCAUAUCUAAAGAAUGACAAUCAUGUACAAAGUGAUACACUAGCAUCAAGGAUCUCGUUCUAUUCUUACAUUAGGAUGUUCAGUGGGAGACCCGAAGAAUUGAACUCUGUUGCAAAGUUCCUCACAGAUGCCAUUGAAUUGAGGUCCAAUUCCAUGAUAUCAACUUUGGCAGAUGGGAUUUCUUUUACUAUAGCUUCUUUGAUAGAUCUUCCAGCAGC
rnacentral:lncRNA from 1 species